CUUUGAUCUAUUGAUGACCACCUGUGGCGAAGGCGGUCUACCAGAACACGUUCGACGGUGAGGGAUGAAAGCUGGGGGAGCAAACCGGAUUAGAUACCCGGGUAGUCCCAGCUGUAAACGAUGCAAACUCGAUGAUGCGUUGGCUUGUUGCUAGCGCAGUGUCGCAGGGAAGCCGUUAAGUUUGCCGCCUGGGAAGUACGUACGCAAGUAUGAAACUUAAAGGAAUUGGCGGGGGAGCACCACAAGGGGUGAAGCCUGCGGUUCAAUUGGAGUCAACGCCUGAAACCUUACCCGGAGAGACAGCAGAAUGAAGGUCAAGCUGAAGACUUUACCAGACAAGCUGAGAGGUGGUGCAUGGCCGUCGCCAGCUCGUGCCGUGAGAUGUCCUGUUAAGUCAGGUAACGAGCGAGAUCCCUGCCUCUAGUUGCCACUAUUACACCCUGGUGUAGUAGGGCGAAUUAGGGGGACCGCCGCAGUUAAUGCGGAGGAAGGAAGGGGCCACGGCAGGUCAGUAUGCCCCGAAACUCUGGGGCCACACGCGGGCUGCAAUGGUAACGACAAU
rnacentral:rRNA from 1 species